UCUUGUAAAAUACACGACGCGACGCAACGCAACUUUAGUACGCCUCAAAACCCUAAUCUUCAAACUCCAUUCCACUCUCGACUCGAAUCUCUCGGCGCUAUCCGACCUACGGAAGAAUGAGUCGAUCAAGCAGAACCCUUUAUGUUGGCAACCUUCCCGGUGACAUUCGUGAGAGGGAAGUGGAAGAUUUGUUUUACAAGUAUGGACCAAUUGCUCAUAUUGAUCUGAAAAUUCCACCUAGGCCUCCUGGCUAUGCUUUUGUUGAGUUUGAAGAGGCUCGUGAUGCUGAAGAUGCUAUUCGUGGGCGUGAUGGUUAUGAUUUUGAUGGACACCGGCUGCGGGUGGAGCUUGCGCAUGGUGGGCGUGGUAACUCAUCAUCAACUGAUCGUUACAAUAGCAAUAGCGGUAGUCGAGGUCCUCGUGGUGGAGUGUCUAGGCGCUCUGAGUAUAGAGUGUUAGUCACUGGAUUGCCCAAUUCUGCUUCUUGGCAAGAUCUGAAGGAUCACAUGCGUCGAGCAGGGGAUGUGUGCUUCUCCCAAGUUUUCCAUGAGGGUAGUGCAGGAAAGACGGGGAUAGUGGACUAUACAAAUUAUGAUGACAUGAAAUAUGCCAUAAAGAAGCUCGAUGAUUCUGAGUUUCGAAAUGCUUUCUCCCGAUCCGUAGUUCGGGUGAAGGAAUAUGAUGGAAGCCGUUCCAGAAGUCGCAGCCGUAGCCGUUCUCGCUCAAGAGGAAGAAGCAAUGGUCGCAGCCAGAGCCGAAGUCGAAGCAGGAGCAAAAGCAGCAAGUCACCCAAGGGAAAAUCUUCACGCCGUUCAAGGUCUCUGUCUUCUCGGUCUCGCUCUGGGUCGAAAGCACGCUCUCUAUCUAGCUUCACAGCCAUCAGAUCCUGCCCAUCUUUUGAACAUAGUUCCAACGCAGUUCCUUACAUGGUACCACUGGUCGGUAUCAUCACAUCCAGUGGGUUAGUCAAGUUUCUGCAAAUUUGUUGGAUCGGAGUUGGAGGUGCCUAUGAACUGAGCUGAUGGAGGGUUGGGCUUGUCUUGAGCUCGGAAUGUUUCAUGAGCGUACAAAGUGCCAACUUCAGCUGAGCUCAGCUUUUCUGCAUGUUCAUGAGUCCAAUGUGAAAAAUAAUAGAAUUAAUAUGAUAAGUUCAGGCUUGCAAGGGACACGCUGGUCCCGGGUCCUUGGUGAGUGUCAUGAAAACUGGAACUGUCCAUUUUGCACCUCUAGAUGAUCUUUUAGAUCUGAAAUCGAUUCCUCAUAUCACCAGCACAUAUAAAUGUUUAAAUUUCGGUUUAUUUAGAGACCACGCCUUUACAAUCAUGUCUAAAUGGCUAAAAGGAAUUGAUUUAUUCAUUGGUCUGUCUCCACAAAAAGGUGCAUGUACUACUUUUGAGUUCUUAUAAACAAAGAGCUGAACAAAUGCUUGUAGCUUUGAUAUUUUUCAGCAGGCCUUUCCCAGUGACAGAAAUGUCGGAGCUUUUCCGGAAGCUGAGCAUAUCUUAAAUCAUGAAUACCGUUAGUUAUUUGUAGUUGAAGACUCCCCUCAUCUAGCCCCUCUCUCUGAUUCUUUUCCUCCAGUGUUUCACUCUUGGAUUGUGCUUGAAGUGUGACAUUGAGAAAAUGUAUCAUCAAGGAAUCAUCAUUUUCAUUCUUUUCUUUUCAAAUUGGAAUCACCUUCUUUGUUUUUUAGAUAUGGCUUGUAUGCGCAAUUUGGGGAUUGCACAUUAGGAUCUUCGUGGGAUAUGGUUCAAUUGCCUACAUAUCUUUUAUUAGUGGAGAUUGGAAACAAAGAAGAUACUGGAUUGCGAGUAAAGCUGGACUGUGAAUUGCCCUUUGAACAUGGAAACACCCUCUAUUUGCAGUGGGAACAUUUUCAUUGUCGCCAAUGCUGUUAAGCUACCAAAGCAUACUAUCGAAGUUCUUUAUUGGUUCUUUUGGCUUCUUGAUCGGUCUUUUAAAGAACGUUUGUUAGCUUUAUAUUUGAGGUUCUGUUUCUUUCUUAAUUAGAUUCCUUCUUUAGGUGGACAUAUUUUGCCCCCUAUUUUAAGUUUUCCCCCCACAAAUUGCUAAAAUAUUUGCAAGUUUCCUCUUAUGCAUUUUGGUCAUGGUGACACUGACGUGGAUGUGGCAUCAAGGCUCAUGGAGCAAAGUUGUUAAGAGGCACAAGUGGAUAUUAAAUUGGGUUGUUUCUGGAACUUUUGCAGAUCUCCAUCAAGAUCCAGGUCCCCAUCUCCAUCUCGCCAGAAACGGGCAGGUAAAAGUCCACCUAGGCGCAGUGCUAGCAGAAGCCGUAGCCAAA